rnacentral:rRNA from 1 species
CCUACGGGUGGCUGCAGUGAGGAAUAUUGGUCAAUGGACGCAAGUCUGAACCAGCCAUGCCGCGUGCAGGACGACGGCUCUAUGAGUUGUAAACUGCUUUUGUACGAGGAUAAACGCAGAUACGCGUAUCUGUCUGAGAGUAUCGUACGAAUAAGGAUCGGCUAACUCCGUUCCAGCAACCGAGGUAAUACGGAGGAUUCCAGCGUUAGCCGGAUGUAUUGGGUGUAAAGGGUGCGUAGACGGUCGGAUAAGUUAGAUGUGAAAGCCCGAGGCUCAACUUCGGAAGUGCCGCUGAUACUGUUCGGCUAGAGAGUAGUUGCGGUAGGCGGAAUGUAUGGUGUAGCGGUGAAAUGCUUAGAGAUCAUACAGAACACCGAUUGCGAAGGCAGCUUACCAAGCUACUUCGGACGUUGAGGCACGAAAGCGUGGGGAGCAAACAGGAUUAGAGACCCGGGUAGUC